AGAGCAGCAUUGGGUUUAAAGUGCGCGUAGGCGGUACUUCAAGUCAGGCGUGAAAGCCCCGGGCUCAACCUGGGAACCGCGCUUGAGACUGGAGAACUAGAGUUCGGGAGAGGAUGGUGGAAUUCCCAGUGUAGAGGUGAAAUUCGUAGAUAUUGGGAAGAACACCGAUGGCGAAGGCAGCCAUCUGGACCGACACUGACGCUGAGGCGCGAAAGCGUGGGGAGCAAACAGGAUUAGAUACCCUGGUAGUCCACGCCGUAAACGAUGAGUGCUAGACGUUGGGGCCCUUAGGGCUUCGGUGUCGCAGCUAACGCAUUAAGCACUCCGCCUGGGGAGUACGGCCGCAAGGUUAAAACUCAAAAAAUUGACGGA
rnacentral:rRNA from 1 species